CCUUUAAUGUUUGAUGUUCUAACGUGGACCCGUAAUCCGGGUUGCGGACAGUGUCUGGUGGGUAGUUUGACUGGGGCGGUCUCCUCCUAAAGAGUAACGGAGGAGCACGAAGGUUGGCUAAUCCUGGUCGGACAUCAGGAGGUUAGUGCAAUGGCAUAAGCCAGCUUGACUGCGAGCGUGACGGCGCGAGCAGGUGCGAAAGCAGGUCAUAGUGAUCCGGUGGUUCUGAAUGGAAGGGCCAUCGCUCAACGGAUAAAAGGUACUCCGGGGAUAACAGGCUGAUACCGCCCAAGAGUUCAUAUCGACGGCGGUGUUUGGCACCUCGAUGUCGGCUCAUCACAUCCUGGGGCUGAAGUAGGUCCCAAGGGUAUGGCUGUUCGCCAUUUAAAGUGGUACGCGAGCUGGGUUUAGAACGUCGUGAGACAGUUCGGUCCCUAUCUGCCGUGGGCGCUGGAGAACUGAGGGGGGCUGCUCCUAGUACGAGAGGACCGGAGUGGACGCAUCACUGGUGUUCGGGUUGUCAUGCCAAUGGCACUGCCCGGUAGCUAAAUGCGGAAGAGAUAAGUGCUGAAAGCAUCUAAGCACGAAACUUGCCCCGAGAUGAGUUCUCCCUGAGACUUAGAGUCUCCUGAAGGAACGUUGAAGACGACGACGUUGAUAGGCCGGGUGUGUAAGCGCAGCGAUGCGUUGAGCUAACCGGUACUAAUGAACCGUGAGGCUUAACCUUACA
rnacentral:rRNA from 1 species